rnacentral:rRNA from 1 species
UGGGGAAUAUUGGACAAUGGGCGAAAGCCUGAUCCAGCCAUGCCGCGUGUGUGAAGAAGGUCUUCGGAUUGUAAAGCACUUUAAGUUGGGAGGAAGGGCAUUAACCUAAUACGUUAGUGUUUUGACGUUACCGACAGAAUAAGCACCGGCUAACUCUGUGCCAGCAGCCGCGGUAAUACAGAGGGUGCAAGCGUCAAUCGGAAUUACUGGGCGUAAAGCGCGCGUAGGUGGUUUGUUAAGUUGGAUGUGAAAUCCCCGGGCUCAACCUGGGAACUGCAUUCAAAACUGACUGACUAGAGUAUGGUAGAGGGUGGUGGAAUUUCCUGUGUAGCGGUGAAAUGCGUAGAUAUAGGAAGGAACACCAGUGGCGAAGGCGACCACCUGGACUAAUACUGACACUGAGGUGCGAAAGCGUGGGGAGCAAACA